rnacentral:rRNA from 1 species
AACGAACGCUGGCGGCAUGCCUAACACAUGCAAGUCGAACGAGACCUUCGGGUCUAGUGGCGCACGGGUGCGUAACGCGUGGGAACCUGCCCUUAGGUUCGGAAUAACUCCCCGAAAGGGGUGCUAAUACCGGAUAAUGUCUUCGGACCAAAGAUUUAUCGCCUUUGGAUGGGCCCGCGUUGGAUUAGCUAGUUGGUAGGGUAAAAGCCUACCAAGGCGACGAUCCAUAGCUGGUCUGAGAGGAUGAUCAGCCACACUGGGACUGAGACACGGCCCAGACUCCUACGGGAGGCAGCAGUGGGGAAUAUUGGACAAUGGGCGAAAGCCUGAUCCAGCAAUGCCGCGUGAGUGAUGAAGGCCGUAGGGUUGUAAAGCUCUUUUACCCGGGAUGAUAAGGACAGUACCGGGAGAAUAAGCUCCGGCUAACUCCGU